UACAGAGGGGGCAAGCGUUGUUCGGAAUUACUGGGCGUAAAGGGCGCGUAGGCGGCCUGCUAAGUCGAACGUGAAAUCCCUGGGCUCAACCCAGGAACUGCGUCCGAUACUGGUUGGCUUGAAUCCGGGAGAGGGAUGUGGAAUUCCAGGUGUAGCGGUGAAAUGCGUAGAUAUCAGGAGGAACACCGAUGGCGAAGGCAGGUCUCUGGGCUGACACUGACGCUCAUGCACGAAAGCGUGGGGAGCAAACAGG
rnacentral:rRNA from 1 species